GUGAUUCUCGCCUAGCCGCCGCCCAGCCCUGCGCGCCUUGCCUGGCGGCCCCCGCCCGGCCGCUCCGGGCCCCUGGCCCCGCGGAGCGAUGCUGCUGCUGGCUGCCGCCUUCCUCGUGGCCUUCGUGCUGCUGCUGUACAUGGUGUCUCCGCUUAUCAGCCCCAAGCCCCUCGCCCUGCCCGGGGCGCAUGUGGUGUGGGAAGGAUGAGCUAAACGACAAGGCUAGUGUGCGAGGAAUGAAGGAGAGGUGGAUGGGUGUGAUUUAUUUCUUGCCGGAAGCUCGCAUAUUCAGCGAUCCCUGUUCUGCAAAUGUGGCACCUUAAACAGAGAGAAUGCCUCCUUGCCUGCGCCCAGCACUUUCCCGUUUGCAGUGGCUUUCUCACCAGCAUUCUUGUUUGGAUCUCCCAAACCCGAGGCACAGUGAGGCGGGGAGUUAGGAAUAAGGAGGGUUGGUUACAAAGCUGGCCGCACACCUCUUCCUGUCCUAUCGCUGCACCUGAGAUCCGAGCCCCCGCGCUGAGCUGGUAUAAGAUAAGAUGGUUACAGGAGGUUCCAGUGGCAUUGG
rnacentral:sRNA from 1 species